AGAGUUUGAUCCUGGCUCAGGAUGAACGCUAGCUACAGGCUUAACACAUGCAAGUCGAGGGGCAGCAUGAGAUUAGCUUGCUAAUCUUGAUGGCGACCGGCGCACGGGUGAGUAACGCGUAUCCAACCUUCCCCCUACUCAGGCAUAGCCCGGUGAAAACCGGAUUAACUCCUGAUAGUUUCACUAGAUGGCAUCUGACGGUGAAUAAAGCUCAGCGGUAAGGGAUGGGGAUGCGUCUGAUUAGCUUGUUGGCGGGGUAACGGCCCACCAAGGCGACGAUCAGUAGGGGUUCUGAGAGGAAGGUCACCCACAUUGGAACUGAGACACGGUCCAAACUCCUACGGGAGGCAGCAGCGAGGAAUAUUGGUCAAUGGAGGCAACUCUGAACCAGCCAAGUAGCGUGCAGGACGACGGCCCUAUGGGUUGUAAACUGCUUUUAUAAGGGGAUAAAGGAUGCCACGUGUGGUGUUUUGCAUGUACCUUAUGAAUAAGGACCGGCUAAUUCCGUGCCAGCAGCCGCGGUAAU
rnacentral:rRNA from 1 species